AUCAAGAAAUAAAUUUGACUUUUAUUUCUUUUAUGGUAAUUAUAAUUAUAGCAUAUUUAAAAUUUUCUAUUUAUAAGCAUAUUUACAAUUAGUUUUUAAUUGUCAGAUUAUUAAUUUUAUUUUUUCAUUUAUUUAGUCUUUUAAUGUGAUAAAAGUCAAUUUAUUAAGAUUAAUUUGUUUUCUUAUUUUUUAAAUAGUAAUUAUAUUUUCUUUAUUACGACGUUUUUCCUAUGUUUGUUUUUGACUUUCUUUCAAAUUAAAGAGUAUAAUUACUUUUUUUGUAAUUUAAUAGCUUUUAUAAUAUAUUAGGUUUUACUAGGCUAAUUUUACUUAAUAGGUUUUUGACUUUUUAUCUUUAAUGAUAUAUUUAAUUUAAGAAUUUGAUUGCAUUUUAAUGGUUGAGCCAAUUUUAUUUCGUGAUUGAUUUCAAUUUUAUUUUCAAUAUCUUAAUUGAUCUUGAUUAUUAUAUAUGAUACUUUUUUAGGAAAAGAUUUACGAAACUCAUUAAAUUACAUUAAAUGAAAUUUAUUUUUACAUUAUCACUUUAUUUUUUCUUACCAUUUAUAAUUCAGUGUAAUAUUUUAGAUCUUCUUACUAGUAUUUUUUACUUAAAAUGUAUGAUUUUUUUUUUCAUAAAGCUAUUAAUGAUUUAAUUUUAUUGUUUUAUUGUAUUUAAGGUUAGUGGAUUUUUUGGUCAUUAAUUUAUUAAUUAUAUUUUCUUCUUUUAAGUCCUUAUUUAUGAUCUUUAUUAUUUUUAUUAUUUACUUUCUCAUUUCUUUUAUUUACAUUACAGUAAGUUUUUUUAUCAUUAAUUUAUUAAUUAUUUUUAUCUGUUAAGUCUUUAAUUACAAUUUAUGUAAUUGCUUGAGUGGUGGCUUUUUUGUAUUGACCUUUAAAUAUGAUUUAGAUUAUUUAUGAUUUUUUAUUAUCUUAGUUACAUGAUUUUCUUUCCUUUUAUUUACAUUACAGAAAGUUCUCUAUUGUAGUUGCUCUUUUUAUGAGUCAAAUUGUCUUUAUUAAUUUAAAGGUAUUGGAAUUAUCAAUAUUGUUAUUUUAAUUAUGACUAAUAUGGUUUUUUAGUUUUUAUGGCACGUGUUUUUUGGUUUUUGUAAGGCAAUAUAUCUAGUUUUGUAAAUGGUUUGUUUUUAUUGAUUUUGUAAGGCCAAUGUGCCUAGUUUUUUUGUAUGGCCAAUGUGGCUAGUUUUCUUUGUACGGCCAAUGUGGUUAGUUUUGGUUUUGUAAGGCCAGUAUGGCUAUUUUAGUUUUGUAAGGCUAGUAUGGCUAGUUUUUGGUUUUGUAAGGCCAGUAUGGCUAGUUUUAAUUUUGUAAGUGUAAUCACCGUCAGGAAUGGAGAUGAAAAUAGAUAAGUAUCUACGUCAGAGAAUUCUAUGUGACUAUUUAUAUAAAAUUUCAUAUUUUAUUUUAUUUUAUUUAUAAGGGAAAUUUCAUUUUUUUAUUAAAUAUUUAUUAUGUAUUAAUUAAUUUCUCUUUAU